AGAGAGGGAGACAGGUUCAAUACACCAGUCUAUUACUCUUCCACAAUGUGUGUGUCACAGUUAGAGAGAGAGGUCGUCUGUCAGUUAGAGAGAGAGAGGUCGUCUGUCAGUUAGAGAGAGAGAGGUCGUCUGUCAGUUAGAGAGAGAGAGGUCGUCUGUCAGUUAGAGAGAGAGAGGUCGUCUGUCAGUUAGAGAGAGAGAGGUCGUCUGUCAGUUAGAGAGAGAGAGGUCGUCUGUCAGUUAGAGAGAGAGAGGUCGUCUGUCAGUUAGAGAGAGAGAGGUCGUCUGUCAGUUAGAGAGAGGUUGUCUGUCAGUUAGAGAGGUUGUCUGUGUGUGUCAGUUAGAGAGAGGAGAGGUUGUCUGUCAGUUAGAGAGAGGUUGUCUGUGUGUGUGGUAUGGAGGGUUAGCC